UACGGAGGGGGCUAGCGUUGUUCGGAAUUACUGGGCGUAAAGCGCGCGUAGGCGGCUUUGUAAGUUAGAGGUGAAAGCCCGGAGCUCAACUCCGGAACUGCCUUUAAGACUGCAUCGCUAGAAUCAUGGAGAGGUGAGUGGAAUUCCGAGUGUAGAGGUGAAAAUUCGUAGAUAUUCGGAAGAACACCAGUGGCGAAGGCGACUCACUGGACAUGUAUUGACGCUGAGGUGCGAAAAGCGUGGG
rnacentral:rRNA from 1 species